rnacentral:rRNA from 1 species
GACGAACGCUGGCGGCGUGCUUAACACAUGCAAGUCGAACGGAAAGGCCCUGCUUUUGUGGGGUGCUCGAGUGGCGAACGGGUGAGUAACACGUGAGUAACCUGCCCUUGACUUUGGGAUAACUUCAGGAAACUGGGGCUAAUACCGGAUAGGAGCUCCUGCUGCAUGGUGGGGGUUGGAAAGUUUCGGCGGUUGGGGAUGGACUCGCGGCUUAUCAACUUGUUGGUGGGGUAGUGGCUUACCAAGGCUUUGACGGGUAGCCGGCCUGAGAGGGUGACCGGCCACAUUGGGACAGAGAUACGGCCCAGACUCCUACGGGAGGCAGGAGUGGGGAAUAUUGCACAAUGGGCGGAAGCCUGAUGCAGCAACGCCGCGUGCGGGAUGACGGCCUUCGGGCUGUAAACCGCUUUCGCCUGUGACGAAGCGUGAGUGACGGUAAUGGGUAAAGAAGCACCGGCUAACUACGU